GACGAACGCUGGCGGCGUGCUUAACACAUGCAAGUCGAACGGAAAGGCCCUGCUUUUGUGGGGUGCUCGAGUGGCGAACGGGUGAGUAACACGUGAGUAACCUGCCCUUGACUUUGGGAUAACUUCAGGAAACUGGGGCUACUACCGGCUAGGAGCUCCUGCUGCAUGGUGGGGGUUGGAACGUUUCGGCGGUUGGGGAUGGACUGGCGGCUUAUCAGCUUGUUGGUGGGGUAGUGGCUUACCAAGGCAUUGACGGGUAGCCGGCAUGAGAGGGUAACCGGCGACAUUGGGACUGAGAGAGGGAGCAGAGUCCAACGGGAGGCAGCAGGGGGGAAUAUUGCGCAACGGGGGGAAGCCUGAUGCAGCAACGCUGGGUGCGGGAUGACGGCCUUCGGGGGGGAAACCGCUUUCGCCUGUGACGAAGCGUGAGUGACGGUAAUGGGUAAAGAAGCACCGGCUAACUACGUG
rnacentral:rRNA from 1 species